rnacentral:rRNA from 1 species
AACCAGCACCUCAAGUGGUCAGGAUGAUUAUUGGGCCUAAAGCAUCCGUAGCCGGCUCUGUAAGUUUUCGGUUAAAUCUAUACGCUCAACGUAUGGGCUGCCGAAAAUACUGUAGAGAUAGGGAGUGGGAGAGGUAGACGGUACUCGGUAGGAAGGGGUAAAAUCCUUUGAUCUAUCGAUGACCACCUGUGGCGAAGGCGGUCUACCAGAACACGUUCGACGGUGAGGGAUGAAAGCUGGGGGAGCAAAC